rnacentral:rRNA from 1 species
UAAUGAAAGUGAACGGAGGUGAGAUCCGCAAGGUGCAUCAUCGACCGAUCCUGAUGUCUUGGAUGGAUUUGAGUAAGAGCAUAGCUGUUGGGACCCGAAAGAUGGUGAACUAUGCCUGAAUAGGGUGAAGCCAGAGGAAACUCUGGUGGAGGCUCGCAGCGGUUCUGACGUGCAAAUCGAUCGUCAAAUUUGGGUAUAGGGGCGAAAGACUAAUCUAACCAUCUAGUAGCUGGUUCCUGCGGAAGUUUCCCUCAGGAUAGAAGAAACGAUUUCAGUAUUAUGAGGUAAAGCGAAUGAGUAUAGGCCUUGGGGUUGAAACAACCUUAACCGAUUAUCAAACUUUAAAUAUGGAAGAAGUCCCUGUUACUUAUUUGAACGUGGACAUUUGAAUGUAUCUUACUAGUGGGCCAUUUUUGGUAA